rnacentral:misc_RNA from 1 species
AAGUCGUAACAAGGUUUCCGUAGGUGAACCUGCGGAAGGAUCAUUAUCGAGUUAGGGACGUCAUGUCCCGAACCUCCAACCCUUGUGUUAAACUAUACCACGUUGCUUCGGCGGGUCCGCCUUCAUCGGCCGCCGGGCUGCUUUGGCAGUCUGGUCCGUUGCCGUCGAUGCCAUUACAAAGUCAUCUUGUUUAAAUCCGUACGUCGUCUGAGUACAUAAAAAAUUUAAAACAAAA